GGAGUCUGGGCCGUGUCUCAGUCCCAAUGUGGCCGUCCAACCUCUCAGUCCGGCUACUGAUCGUUGCCUUGGUGAGCCGUUACCUCACCAACCAGCUAAUCAGACGCGAGCUCAUCCUUAAGCGAUAAAUCUUUUAUAGCUGUAUCAUGCGAUACUACUAUCUUAUGCGGUAUUAUCAGUCGUUUCCAACUGCUAUCCCCUCCUUAGGUA
rnacentral:rRNA from 1 species